GGGGUUGUGGCCAAGCCAGGUAUGGCGACGGGCUCCAGCGGUGGAAGGGUCUGAUAGGCCCUCCAGAAAUAUGAUGAGCAACGGGUCACCUGAAGCUGCCCGACGGGGUAGCUUGUGAGGAACCGUUGGAGCGCUGAUUUCAAAGCGUUCCCCGCGCGUCAAUCGCGCAGGAGCGCCGCUCUCUGGUGAAAUCCCAGACAAUCAAUCGGAGAGACCCGUCGAUCAGGAGUUCAAAUCUCUUCAACCCCA
rnacentral:tRNA from 1 species